GGUUAAGCGACUAAGCGUACACGGUGGAUGCCCUGGCAGUCAGAGGCGAUGAAGGACGUGCUAAUCUGCGAAAAGCGUCGGUAAGGUGAUAUGAACCGUUACAGCCGGCGAUGUCCGAAUGGGGAAACCCAGUGUGAUUCGUCACACUAUCGUUAACUGAAUACAUAGGUUAACGAGGCGAACCGGGGGAACUGAAACAUCUAAGUACCCCGAGGAAAAGAAAUCAACCGAGAUUCCCCCAGUAGCGGCGAGCGAACGGGGAGCAGCCCAGAGUCUGAAUCAGCUUGUGUGUUAGUGGAACGGUCUGGAAAGUCCGACGGUACAGGGUGAUAGUCCCGUACACCAAAAUGCACAGGCUGUGAACUCGAAGAGUAGGGCGGGACACGUGGUAUCCUGUCUGAAUAUGGGGGGACCAUCCUCCAAGGCUAAAUACUCCUGACUGACCGAUAGUGAACCAGUACCGUGAGGGAAAGGCGAAAAGAACCCCGGCGAGGGGAGUGAAAAAGAACCUGAAACCGUGUACGUACAAGCAGUGGGAGCACCUUUAUGGUGUGACUGCGUACCUUUUGUAUAAUGGGUCAGCGACUUAUAUUCUGUAGCAAGGUUAACCGUAUAGGGGAGCCGCAGGGAAACCGAGUCUUAACUGGGCGUUAAGUUGCAGGGUAUAGACCCGAAACCCGGUGAUCUAGCCAUGGGCAGGUUGAAGGUUGGGUAACACUAACUGGAGGACCGAACCGACUAAUGUUGAAAAAUUAGCGGAUGACUUGUGGCUGGGGGUGAAAGGCCAAUCAAACCGGGAGAUAGCUGGUUCUCCCCGAAAGCUAUUUAGGUAGCGCCUCGUGAAUUCAUCUUCGGGGGUAGAGCACUGUUUCGGCUAGGGGGUCAUCCCGACUUACCAACCCGAUGCAAACUACGAAUACCGAAGAAUGUUAUCACGGGAGACACACGGCGGGUGCUAACGUCCGUCGUGAAGAGGGAAACAACCCAGACCGCCAGCUAAGGUCCCAAAGUCACAGUUAAGUGGGAAACGAUGUGGGAAGGCACAGACAGCCAGGAUGUUGGCUUAGAAGCAGCCAUCAUUUAAAGAAAGCGUAAUAGCUCACUGGUCGAGUCGGCCUGCGCGGAAGAUGUAACGGGGCUAAACUGUGCACCGAAGCUGCGGCAGCGACACUAUGUGUUGUUGGGUAGGGGAGCGUUCUGUAAGCCUGCGAAGGUGGCCUGUGAGGGUUGCUGGAGGUAUCAGAAGUGCGAAUGCUGACAUAAGUAACGAUAAUGCGGGUGAAAAGCCCGCACGCCGGAAGACCAAGGGUUCCUGUCCAACGUUAAUCGGGGCAGGGUGAGUCGACCCCUAAGGCGAGGCCGAAAGGCGUAGUCGAUGGGAAACAGGUUAAUAUUCCUGUACUUGGUGUUACUGCGAAGGGGGGACGGAGAAGGCUAUGUUAGCCGGGCGACGGUUGUCCCGGUUUAAGCAUGUAGGCGGAGGUUCCAGGUAAAUCCGGUACCUUUUAACGCUGAGGUGUGAUGACGAGGCACUACGGUGCUGAAGUAACAAAUGCCCUGCUUCCAGGAAAAGCCUCUAAGCAUCAGGUAACAUUGAAUCGUACCCCAAACCGACACAGGUGGUCAGGUAGAGAAUACCAAGGCGCUUGAGAGAACUCGGGUGAAGGAACUAGGCAAAAUGGUGCCGUAACUUCGGGAGAAGGCACGCUGAUAUGUAGGUGAAGUCCCUGCGGAUGGAGCUGAAAUCAGUCGAAGAUACCAGCUGGCUGCAACUGUUUAUUAAAAACACAGCACUGUGCAAACACGAAAGUGGACGUAUACGGUGUGACGCCUGCCCGGUGCCGGAAGGUUAAUUGAUGGGGUUAUCCGUAAGGAGAAGCUCUUGAUCGAAGCCCCGGUAAACGGCGGCCGUAACUAUAACGGUCCUAAGGUAGCGAAAUUCCUUGUCGGGUAAGUUCCGACCUGCACGAAUGGCGUAAUGAUGGCCAGGCUGUCUCCACCCGAGACUCAGUGAAAUUGAACUCGCUGUGAAGAUGCAGUGUACCCGCGGCAAGACGGAAAGACCCCGUGAACCUUUACUAUAGCUUGACACUGAACAUUGAGCCUUGAUGUGUAGGAUAGGUGGGAGGCUUUGAAGCGUGGACGCCAGUCUGCGUGGAGCCAACCUUGAAAUACCACCCUUUAAUGUUUGAUGUUCUAACGUUGGCCCCUAAUCGGGGUUGCGGACAGUGUCUGGUGGGUAGUUUGACUGGGGCGGUCUCCUCCCAAAGAGUAACGGAGGAGCACGAAGGUUAGCUAAUCCUGGUCGGACAUCAGGAGGUUAGUGCAAUGGCAUAAGCUAGCUUGACUGCGAGCGUGACGGCGCGAGCAGGUGCGAAAGCAGGUCAUAGUGAUCCGGUGGUUCUGAAUGGAAGGGCCAUCGCUCAACGGAUAAAAGGUACUCCGGGGAUAACAGGCUGAUACCGCCCAAGAGUUCAUAUCGACGGCGGUGUUUGGCACCUCGAUGUCGGCUCAUCACAUCCUGGGGCUGAAGUAGGUCCCAAGGGUAUGGCUGUUCGCCAUUUAAAGUGGUACGCGAGCUGGGUUUAGAACGUCGUGAGACAGUUCGGUCCCUAUCUGCCGUGGGCGCUGGAGAAUUGAGGGGGGCUGCUCCUAGUACGAGAGGACCGGAGUGGACGCAUCACUGGUGUUCGGGUUGUCAUGCCAAUGGCAUUGCCCGGUAGCUAAAUGCGGAAGAGAUAAGUGCUGAAAGCAUCUAAGCACGAAACUUGCCCCGAGAUGAGUUCUCCCUGAGACUUUAAGUCUCCUGAAGGAACGUUAAAGACGAUGACGUUGAUAGGUCGGGUGUGUAAGCGUAGCGAUACGUUGAGCUAACCGAUACUAAUGAACCGUGAGGCUUAACCUUACAACGCCGAAGGUGUUUUG
rnacentral:rRNA from 1 species